rnacentral:rRNA from 1 species
GACGAACGCUGGCGGCGUGCCUAAUACAUGCAAGUAGAACGCACAGUUUAUACCGUAGCUUGCUACACCAUAGACUGUGAGUUGCGAACGGGUGAGUAACGCGUAGGUAACCUGCCUGGUAGCGGGGGAUAACUAUUGGAAACGAUAGCUAAUACCGCAUAAUAUUAAUUAUUGCAUGAUAAUUAAUUGAAAGGUGCAAUUGCACCACUACCAGAUGGACCUGCGUUGUAUUAGCUAGUAGGUGAGGUAACGGCUCACCUAGGCGACGAUACAUAGCCGACCUGAGAGGGUGAUCGGCCACACUGGGACUGAGACACGGCCCAGACUCCUACGGGAGGCAGCAGUAGGGAAUCUUCGGCAAUGGACGAAAGUCUGACCGAGCAAUGCCGCGUGAGUGAAGAAGGUUUUCGGAUCGUAAAGCUCUGUUGUAAGAGAAGAACGGGUGUGAGAGUGGAAAGUUCACACUGUGACGGUAUCUUACCAGAAAGGGACGGCUAACUACGUG